AGUGAACGCUGGCGGCGUGCUUAACACAUGCAAGUCGAACGAGAACGGAUUAUAGCUUGCUAUAAUUGUCAGCUAAGUGGCGCACGGGUGAGUAAUGUAUAGGUAAUAUGCCUCUUACUAAGGGAUAACAAUUGGAAACGUUUGCUAAUACCUUAUACUCCUUAUUAACAUAAGUUAAUAAGGGAAAGAUUUAUUGGUAAGAGAUUAGCCGGUAUUGUAUCAGUUAGUUGGUGGGGUAAUGGCUUACCAAGACUAUGACACAUAACUGGUUUGAGAGGAGAAUCAGUCACACUGGAACUGAGACACGGUCCAGAAUCCUACGGGAGGCAGCAGUGGGGAAUAUUGCACAAUGGACGAAAGUUUGAUGCAGCAACGCCGCGUGGAGGAUGACACAUUUCGGUGCGUAAACUCCUUUUAUAUGAGAAGAUAAUGACGGUAUUAUAUGAAUAAGCACCGGCUAACUCCGUGCCAGCCGCCGCGGUAAAAC
rnacentral:rRNA from 1 species